rnacentral:rRNA from 1 species
AUACGAAGGGGGCUAGCGUUGUUCGGAAUCACUGGGCGUAAAGCGCGCGUAGGUGGACUAAUCAGUUGAGGGUGAAAUCCCGGGGCUCAACCUCGGAACUGCCUUCAAUACUGUUAGUCUUGAGACCGAGAGAGGUGAGUGGAAUUCCUAGUGUAGAGGUGAAAUUCGUAGAUAUUAGGAAGAACACCAGUGGCGAAGGCGGCUCACUGGCUCGGUACUGACGCUGAGGUGCGAAAGCGUGGGGAGCAAACAGGAUUAGAAACCCUAGUAGUCC